rnacentral:rRNA from 1 species
GAUGAACGCUGGCGGCGUGCCUAAUACAUGCAAGUCGAGCGAACAGACGAGGAGCUUGCUCCUCUGACGUUAGCGGCGGACGGGUGAGUAACACGUGGAUAACCUACCUAUAAGACUGGGAUAACUUCGGGAAACCGGAGCUAAUACCGGAUAAUAUAUUGAACCGCAUGGUUCAAUAGUGAAAGACGGUUUUGCUGUCACUUAUAGAUGGAUCCGCGCCGCAUUAGCUAGUUGGUAAGGUAACGGCUUACCAAGGCAACGAUGCGUAGCCGACCUGAGAGGGUGAUCGGUCACACUGGAACUGAGACACGGUCCAGACUCCUACGGGAGGCAGCAGUAGGGAAUCUUCCGCAAUGGGCGAAAGCCUGACGGAGCAACGCCGCGUGAGUGAUGAAGAUCUUCGGAUCGUAAAACUCUGUUAUUAGGGAAGAACAAAUGUGUAAGUAACUAUGCACGUCUUGACGGUACCUAAUCAGAAAGCCACGGCUAACUACGUG